rnacentral:rRNA from 1 species
AUGAACGCUGGCGGCGUGGCUUAAGACAUGCAAGUCGAACGAGGCGUCCGCAACGGUCAGUCGAGCGGCGAACGGGUGAGUAACACGUGGAUAACCUGCCCUGAAGUUGGGGAUAGCCCGCCGAAACGCGGCUAAUACCGCAUGGAUAGGCCGAUGGUCGGAGCUAAAGGCUGGCUCGCAAGGCUGUCGCUCAUUGGAUGGGUCCGCGGCCUAUUAGCUAGUUGGUGAGGGUAAUGGCCUACCAAGGCGACUGAUCGGGUAGCCUGGUCCUGAGAGGGGGAUCAGCCACACUGGAACUGAGACACGGUCCAGACUCCUACGGGAGACAGCAGUGGGAGAAUUUUGCGCAAUGGGCGAACCCUGACGGCAGCGACGCCGCGUGGAGGAUGAAGGUCUUCGGAUUGUAAACUCCUGUCAUCGGUGAAAAAGCGUAUCACGCUAACCUGCCGGGUGAGUUGAUUAGUAGCCUGCAGAGGAAGGGCCCGGCUAACUCUGUGCCAGCAGCCGCGGUAAUACAGAGGGUCCAGAGCGUUAGUUCGGAUUCAUUGGGCGUAAAGGGCUGCGUAGGCGGCUUUGCUAAGUUGAAUGUGAAAUCCCGCGGCUUAACCCAGGACUGCCUGCCAAUACUGGGACUUAGAGUACUGGAGACAGGAAGUGACUGGAAUUCCCGUGUGUAGCAGUGAAAUGCGUAGAGAUUGGUAAGGAAGCACCAGCUGGCGAAGGCGGCUUCACUGGACAUGGUACUGACGCUGAGGCACGAAAGGCAGUGGGAGCAAACGGGAUUAGAUACCCCGGUAGUCCCUGCCAGUAAACGGUGAGUGCUUGGUGUAGCGGAGGAAUCGACCCCUUCUGUGCCGGAGUCAACAGCAGUUAAAGCACGCCGCCUGGGGAGUACGGUCGCAAGGCUGAAACUCAGAGGAAAUUGACGGGGGCCCGCACAAGCGGUGGAGCAUGUGGUUUAAUUCGAAUGCAACGCGAAGAACCUUACCUGGGUUUGAAGUGCAGUGAAGCCUCAGGAGGAUGAAGGUCCCCGUCGAGCGUAGCAACGCAUUGUAUAGGUGCUGCAUGGCUGUCGUCAGCUCGUGUCGUGAGAUGUUGGGUUAAGUCCCGCAACGAGCGCAACCCUUUGGCCAUAGUUACUACGGGUAGUGCUCGAGAACUCUAUGGCAGACUGCCCUGUGAUAAACCGGGAGGAAGGUGAGGAUGACGUCAAGUCAGCAUGGCCCUUUAUGUCCCAGGGCUAGCACACGUACUACAAUGGACGGCACAAAGAGUCGCAAAACCGCGAGGUUGAGCUAAUCUCAAAAAAACCGUUCUCAGUUCGGAUUGCACUCUGCAACUCGAGUGCAUGAAGCUGGAAUCGCUAGUAAUCGCGGAUCAGCACGCCGCGGUGAAUACGUUCCCGGGCCUUGUACACACCGCCCGUCACAUCACGAAAGUCGGUUGCACUAGAAGUCGGUGGGCUAACCCGCAAGGGGGGCAGCCGCCUAAAGUGUGAUCGGUAAUUGGGGUG